AAUAGAUACCCUGGUAGUCCACGCCGUAAACGAUGAGUGCUAAGUGUUAGAGGGUUUCCGCCCUUUAGUGCUGAAGUUAACGCAUUAAGCACUCCGCCUGGGGAGUACGGCCGCAAGGCUGAAACUCAAAGGAAUUGACGGGGGCCCGCACAAGCGGUGGAGCAUGUGGUUUAAUUCGAAGCAACGCGAAGAACCUUACCAGGUCUUGACAUCCUCUGACAACCCUAGAGAUAGGGCUUCUCCUUCGGGAGCAGAGUGACAGGUGGUGCAUGGUUGUCGUCAGCUCGUGUCGUGAGAUGUUGGGUUAAGUCCCGCAACGAGCGCAACCCUUGACCUUAGUUGCCAUCAUUUAGUUGAGCACUCUAAGGUGACUGCCGGUGACAAACCGGAGGAAGGUGGGGAUGACGUCAAAUCAUCAUGCCCCUUAUGACCUGGGCUACACACGUGCUACAAUGGACGGUACAAAGAGCUGCAAGACCGCGAGGUGGAGCUAAUCUCAUAAAACCGUUCUCAGUUCGGA
rnacentral:rRNA from 1 species